UACGUAGGGUGCAAGCGUUAUUCGGAAUUAUUGGGCGUAAAGGGCGCGUAGGCGGCCUGGCAAGUGGAAGGUGAAAUCCCUCGGCUUAACCGAGGAACUGCCCUCCAAACUGCUUGGCUUGAGUCCGGGAGAGGUGAGUGGAAUUCCUAGUGUAGAGGUGGAAUUCGUAGAUAUUAGGAAGAACACCAGUGGCGAAGGCGGCUUACUGGUCCGGUACUGACGCUGAUGUGCGAAAGCGUGGGGAGCAAACAGG
rnacentral:rRNA from 1 species